CCUACGGGAGGCAGCAGUGGGGAAUAUUGCACAAUGGGGGAAACCCUGAUGCAGCGACGCCGCGUGAGUGAAGAAGUAUUUCGGUAUGUAAAGCUCUAUCAGCAGGGAAGAAAAUGACGGUACCUGAUUAAGAAGCCCCGGCUAACUACGUGCCAGCAGCCGCGGUAAUGCGGAGGGGGCAAGCGUUAUCCGGAUUUACUGGGUGUAAAGGGAGCGUAGACGGCAGCACAAGUCUGGAGUGAAAUGCCCGGGCUUAACCCCGGAACUGCCUUGGAAACUGUGCAGCUAGAGUGCAGGAGAGGUAAGUGGAAUGCCUAGUGUAGCGGUGAAAUGCGUAGAUAUUAGGCGGAACACCAGUGGCGAAGGCGGCUUACUGGACUGUAACUGACGUUGAGGCUCGAAAGCGUGGGGAGCAAACAGGAUUAGAUACCCGUGUAGUC
rnacentral:rRNA from 1 species